GACUUGGAUUUUACUGGUAUGCCGGACAACGUCUCGCGUUCAACUCCUCUAGGACGCGAUCCACAACUUUCAGCCAGUCCGCAGACUGACGAGAAGAAACUGCUGAUUGCUAUCAGUGGACUGUCUCGUCAGCUUACUCAACAUACUGCCGACAUGAAUGAGAGGUUCACUCAACUGCAGAAUUCGGUAAACUCCAGGUUGCUGUCCAUAGAGGACAAGAUGGCGGCUCUGCAGUCGAAGAACUGUGCGGGAGAGACUAACUCCAAGAAGAGAAGACGGAUGCACAAAAGCUUGCGGUAAGAAUAUAUUUGACUGCUAGCUAAGCUAAAAGUAGCCUAGCCAUAACCCAAAGCUAAGGGUGUAUUUUUUGUGAUUUACAGUACGCCGUCUUCACAACUCGGAGACAAAUUGCAGGCGCUAUGAACCGGCGCAAGGACUAAGCACGCCUCAUAAUGAGGCAGUUACCUCCUAUCUGCUCGGAGCAAUAACUGCAAGCCUCGAUUUACACUAUAUUGAUAAAGACGACAUUGUGUCCGCCUGUAAGACGUAUUACGAGACGGUACGCAGGAGCUUCAGAUAUACGCAGCCAGAGAACUCAAUGCGGGCGGAAGCUGCCAAGAAUUCAGCUCGGAGUCGAGCGAGAAGAAAGAGGCUGCAGGAAUCGAGGCAGAGCGUGCUAGCUGAUGAGGAAGUGGAACUCUGGAUGUCCGCCACCGUCGACCUCAUGUCUGACGAGGAAGAUGGCGUCGUUGGCGGGGU